UACAGAGGAGCCAAGCGUUGUCCGGAUUGACUGGGCGUAAAGCGCACGCAGGCGGCACCGCGCGUGGGGUGUGAAAUCUGGCCGCUUAACGGCCAGGCGCCAUCCCAUACGGCGGAGCUGGAGUGAUGCAGAGGUCGAUGGAAUUCCAGGUGUAGCGGUGAAAUGCGUAGAUAUCUGGAGGAACAUCAGUGGCGAAGGCGACACCCUGGACUCAUACUGACACUGAGGUGCGAAAGCGUGGGGAGCAAACAGG
rnacentral:rRNA from 1 species